UAGGGAGGAAAAGAAACCAACAGGGAUUGCCUUAGUAACGGCGAGUGAAGCGGCAAAAGCUCAAAUUUGAAAUCUGGCACUUUCAGUGUCCGAGUUGUAAUUUGAAGAAGGUAACUUUGGAGUUGGCCCUUGUCUAUGUUCCUUGGAACAGGACGUCACAGAGGGUGAGAAUCCCGUGCGAUGAGGUGUCCAAUUCUAUGUAAAGUGCUUUCGAAGAGUCGAGUUGUUUGGGAAUGCAGCUCUAAGUGGGUGGUAAAUUCCAUCUAAAGCUAAAUAUUGGCGAGAGACCGAUAGCGAACAAGUACAGUGAUGGAAAGAUGAAAAGAACUUUGAAAAGAGAGUGAAAAAGUACGUGAAAUUGUUGAAAGGGAAGGGCUUGAGAUCAGACUCGGUAUUUUGCAAGCCUAUCCUUCGUGGAGAGGUUUAUUAGCAGCUUACCGGGCCAGCAUCGGUUUGGAUGGUAGGAUAAUGGCAUUGGAAUGUGGCUCCUCGGAGUGUUAUAGCCUUUGUUGAUACUGCCUAUCUAGACCGAGGACUGCGUCUUUGACUAGGAUGCUGGCGUAAUGAUCUUAAGCCGCCCGUCUUA
rnacentral:rRNA from 1 species